rnacentral:rRNA from 1 species
AUACGGAGGAUCCGAGCGUUAUCCGGAUUUAUUGGGUUUAAAGGGAGCGUAGGUGGAUUGUUAAGUCAGUUGUGAAAGUUUGCGGCUCAACCGUAAAAUUGCAGUUGAAACUGGGAGUCUUGAGUACAGUAGAGGUGGGCGGAAUUAGUGGUGUAGCGGUGAAAUGCUUAGAUAUCACGAAGAACUCCGAUUGCGAAGGCAGCUCACUAGACUGUUACUGACACUGAUGCUCGAAAGUGUGGGUAUCAAACAGGAUUAGAUACCCUGGUAGUCCACACAGUAAACGAUGAAUACUCGCUGUUUGCGAUAUACAGUAAGCGGCCAAGCGAAAGCAUUAAGUAUUCCACCUGGGGAGUACGCCGGCAACGGUGAAACUCAAAUGAAUUGACGGGG